rnacentral:rRNA from 1 species
GACGAACGCUGGCGGCGUGCCUAAUACAUGCAAGUAGAACGCUGAAGGAGGAGCUUGCUUCUCUGGAUGAGUUGCGAACGGGUGAGUAACGCGUAGGUAACCUGCCUGGUAGCGGGGGAUAACUAUUGGAAACGAUAGCUAAUACCGCAUAAGAGUAGAUGUUGCAUGACAUUUGCUUAAAAGGUGCAAUUGCAUCACUACCAGAUGGACCUGCGUUGUAUUAGCUAGUUGGUGGGGUAACGGCUCACCAAGGCGACGAUACAUAGCCGACCUGAGAGGGUGAUCGGCCACACUGGGACUGAGACACGGCCCAGACUCCUACGGGAGGCAGCAGUAGGAAAUCUUCGGCAAUGGACGGAAGUCUGACCGAGCAACGCCGCGUGAGUGAAGAAGGUUUUCGGAUCGUAAAGCUCUGUUGUAAGAGAAGAACGAGUGUGAGAGUGGAAAGUUCACACUGUGACGGUAUCUUACCAGAAAGGGACGGCUAACUACGUG